rnacentral:rRNA from 1 species
GUGUCAGCCGCCGCGGUAAUACGAAUGGAGCGAGCGUUGUUCGGAAUCACUGGGCGUAAAGGGUGCGCAGGCGGUCAUGAAAGUUAGAAGUGAAAUCCCAGGGCUUAACCCUGGAAUGGCUUUUAAAACUCCAUGACUUGAGUAUUGGAGAGGUUGGCGGAAUUCCGAGUGUAGAGGUGAAAUUCGCAGAUAUUCGGAGGAACACCAAUGGCGUAGGCAGCCAACUGGACAAUUACUGACGCUCAUGCACGAAAGCGUGGGGAUCAAACAGGAUUAGAUACCCCGGUAGUCC